AUCUAUAGUCAUACCGCCCUGAAUGUGCCUGAUCUCAUGUGAUCUUGGAAGCUAAGCAGGGUUAGGCCUGGUUGGUACUUGGAUGGGAGAUAAGUAGAGAAGAGUUGAUCCUGCCUGCU
rnacentral:rRNA from 1 species